CUUCUUCGAGCGCGGAGGGGAGAGGAAGGAGUCCGCGAGAGAGCGAAGGGAAGGCGGCGAAGCUCGGCGGGAGCGCGGGAAGAGCGAGCCACGGAAACGAAGUCCCUGGGUUUUUCUUUUUUAUAUAGUAAUGAAGAAGUCAAAUUACACCAGAGUUAUGUAUUAAAUGAAGUUGGUAAAAUAUGAAUAAGUAGGAUAUCCAUGGUGUAUCUUUCACAGAUGAGCAAAUUAUAUUCAUGGUUCAGUGUCAUUCAUUCACUGGUUUAUGGAUCACAAAGUCCUUCAGGCAGUGUGACAAAUCCACAUAAAGUCCCUGAGUGAGAGAUUUUGCAUUCUGUAGAUGUGUUAAAAAAAAUAUUCCCCAUGUAGCUCCCUGUGGCUAGACAUCUGAGAAAUCUCAGGAGCAUAAUGUUAUUCCAGCUAAAGUUGGCGGUAAUUUACACUCAAUGAAUUGGUUCCACGUCUGUCUGUUUCAAAUUAUUUGAGAGAGAAACAAGGCUUUGUGCUGAGUGCAUUUACCUUUGGUCAAAUUGUGCUUUGUACAGGAGAUUUGCCAUCACAAAUGAAGAUUAUGUGUAAAUAAACUGAGCACCUCAUUACUAUUUCCUCCCUACCCACACCAUGUUACUGCUUACAAAUGGUGGGAGCUUAACUCCUUACUGGGAAGUCUUUCGGCUGUUCACCUGUGACUUACACAGUAUAAUGCAAUGCUGGAAAAUGGAAAACACAACUUCCAUCCUCAAUCUACUGACAUGUGCCCACAACACUGUUAGGAUUCAAUAAGCCAGUAAGAUAAGGAAUAUACAUAGCAAUAAAGGUCAUUGAAGGUUGUUAGUAUUUCAGAUAACUCAAUGUACAUAUAUUCUUGUUGCUUUGAAACACAUGUAUUCUUAUUUGCUAAGUAUCCAUUAGCUUGAACAUAAUUUUAGGAGAAGUACAAAGGUCUUUACUGAUAUUAGGAGUAUGUUCUUUCUAUACAUAUCAGAGACAGGGAUGGUGAAAGAUCUCUCUAAAUGAAAGAUUAACCAUUUAUGUAAUUUGUUUUGUUUAUUGUUACUGUCCUGAUUGAAGGUUAGCUUACUGUACAGGAUAAUUUGUAGAGUUACUCUGAUCUGACUGUGAAGAUGUCAUGUCAUAGCUUACAUGGAAUGUACAAUGUGGAAAUAGUUAUGCAAUUAAUAUGAUGUAUACUGUUUGUGAGAGAGUAUAAAAGCUGUGUGAAACUUGUGAGCAUUAUAGUACCCAUCACUUACUGGAAAGUCCUUUACUGUUAAUAAAAGUGUAACAUUUCACUUGAA